rnacentral:rRNA from 1 species
UACGUAGGGGGCAAGCGUUGUCCGGAUUUAUUGGGCGUAAAGAGCGUGUAGGCGGUUAUGCAGGUCCGCUGUGAAAACUGGAGGCUUAACCUCCAGACGUCGGUGGAAACCUCAUGACUAGAGUCCGGAAGAGGAGAGUGGAAUUCCUGGUGUAGCGGUGAAAUGCGCAGAUAUCAGGAAGAACACCCGUGGCGAAGGCGGCUCUCUGGGACGGUACUGACGCUGAGACGCGAAAGCGUGGGGAGCGAACAGG